rnacentral:rRNA from 1 species
AGAGUUUGAUCCUGGCUCAGGAUGAACGCUAGCUACAGGCUUAACACAUGCAAGUCGAGGGGCAGCAUGGUCUUAGCUUGCUAAGGCCGAUGGCGACCGGCGCACGGGUGAGUAACGCGUAUCCAACCUGCCGUCCAGUAGGGGACAGCCCGUAGAAAUGCGGAUUAAUACCCUAUGUUCUCCGAGGAUGACAUCAGAUUCGGAGUAAAGAUUCAUCGCUGGACGAUGGGGAUGCGUCUGAUUAGGCAGCAGGCGGGGCAACGGCCCACCUGGCCGACGAUCAGUAGGGGUUCUGAGAGGAAGGUCCCCCACAUUGGAACUGAGACACGGUCCAAACUCCUACGGGAGGCAGCAGUGAGGAAUAUUGGUCAAUGGGCGCGAGCCUGAACCAGCCAAGUAGCGUGAGGGAAGACUGCCCUACGGGUUGUAAACCUCUUUUGUUCGGGAAUAAAGUGCGGCACGCGUGCCGUUUUGUAUGUACCGUUCGAAUAAGGACCGGCUAAUUCCGUGCCAGCAGCCGCGGUAAUACGGAAGGUCCAGGCGUUAUCCGGAUUUAUUGGGUUUAAAGGGAGCGCAGGCGGCCCGUUAAGCGUGACGUGAAAUGUAGUUGCUCAACAUCUGCACUGCGUCGCGAACUGGUGGGCUUGAGUUCACGGUAGGAAGGCGGAAUUCGUGGUGUAGCGGUGAAAUGCUUAGAUAUCACGAGGAACCCCGAUUGCGAAGGCAGCUUUCCGCAGUGUUACUGACGCUCAUGCUCGAAAGCGCGGGUAUCGAACAGGAUUAGAUACCCUGGUAGUCCGCGCGGUAAACGAUGGAUGCCCGCUGUUCGGCCAUUCGGUUGAGCGGCCAAGCGAAAGCAUUAAGCAUCCCACCUGGGGAGUACGCACGCAAGUGUAAAACUCAAAGGAAUUGACGGGGACCCGCACAAGCAGCGGAGCAUGUGGUUUAAUUCGAAGCAACGCGAAGAACCUUACCAGGGCUUGACAUCCCUCUGAAAGACCGGGUAAUGCUGGUCCUCUCUUCGGAGCAGAGGUGACAGGUGGUGCAUGGUUGUCGUCAGCUCGUGUCGUGAGAUGUUGGGUCAAGUCCCGCAACGAGCGCAACCCUUGCUACUAGUUGCCAUCAUUAAGUUGGGCACUCUAGUGGGACUGCCGGGGACAACCCGGAGGAAGGCGGGGAUGACGUCAAAUCAUCAUGCCCCUUAUGUUCUGGGCGACACACGUGCUACAAUGGCUGUCACAGAGGGAAGCAAAAGGGCGACCUGGAGCAAAUCCCUAAAGGCAGUCCCAGUUCGGAAAGCAGGCUGAAACCCGCCUGCACGAAGUCGGAGUUGCUAGUAAUCGC